rnacentral:rRNA from 1 species
GGAUUAGAUACCCUGGUAGUCCACGCUGUAAACGAUGUGCACUAGGCGUUGGGGUGUUGAAACCUCGGUGCCGGAGCUAACGUGGUAAGUGCACCGCCUGGGGAGUAUGCCGGCAACGGUGAAACUCAAAGGAAUUGACGGGGGCCCGCACAAGCGGUGGAGCAUGUGGUUUAAUUCGAAGCAACGCGAAGAACCUUACCGGCCCUUGACAUGGGCGUCGCGGUUUCCAGAGAUGGAUUCCUUCAGUUCGGCUGGACGCCACACAGGUGCUGCAUGGCUGUCGUCAGCUCGUGCCG